rnacentral:rRNA from 1 species
CAGCCGCCACGGGAAUACGAAGGGGGCUAGCGCUGUUCGGAUUUACUGGGCGUAAAGGGCGCGUAGGCGGACUGAUAAGUCAGGGGUGAAAUCCCAAGGCUCAACCUUGGAACUGCCUUUGAUACUGUUUGUCUUGAGUUCGAGAGAGGUAAGUGGAACUGCGAGUGUAGAGGUGAAAUUCGUAGAUAUUCGCAAGAACACCAGUGGCGAAGGCGGCUUACUGGCUCGAAACUGACGCUGAGGCGCGAAAGCGUGGGGAGCAAACAGGAUUAGAGACCCCAGUAGUCCCUGUCUCUUAUAA